GACGAACGCUGGCGGCAUGCCUAAUACAUGCGAGUCGAGCGAACAGAUGAAGUGCUUGCACUUCUGACGUUAGCGGCGAACGGGUGAGUAACACGUAAGGAAUCUACCUAUAAGCGGGGGAUAACAUUCGGAAACGGGUGCUAAUACCGCAUAAUAUCUUCUUCCGCAUGGAAGAAGAUUGAAAGACGGCUCUGCUGUCACUUAUAGAUGACCUUGCGGUGCAUUAGUUAGUUGGUGGGGUAAUGGCCUACCAAGACGAUGAUGCAUAGCCGACCUGGUAGGGUGAUCGGCCACAUUGGGACUGAGACACGGCCCAAACUCCUACGGGAGGCAGCAGUAGGGAAUCUUCCGCAAUGGGCGAAAGCCUGACGGAGCAAUGCCGCGUGAGUGAAGAAGGCCUUCGGGUCGUAAAACUCUGUUAUAAGAGAAGAACAAAUUGUAGGGUAACUGCUACAGUCUUGACGGUAUCUUAUCAGAAAGCCACGGCUAACUACGUGCCAGCCGCCGCAGUAA
rnacentral:rRNA from 1 species